AACGCACAUUGCGCCCUUUGGUAUUCCAAAGGGCAUGCCUGUUCGAGCGUCAUUUGUACCCUCAAGCUUUGCUUGGUGUUGGGCGUUUUUGUCUCGGGUCCGCCCCGAGACUCGCCUUAAAAUCAUUGGCAGCCGGCCUACUGGUUUCGGAGCGCAGCACAUUUUUACGCUUUGUCCAGUCGUGGUCUUGCGUCCAUGAAGCGAAUAUUUUUCAACGUUUGACCUCGGAUCAGGUAGGGAUACCCGCUGAACUUAA
rnacentral:misc_RNA from 1 species